rnacentral:rRNA from 1 species
UGAGGGUUGAUAGGUUAAGAGCUGAUUAAUUGACGUUACCCACAGAAGAAGCACCGGCUAACUCCGUGCCAGCAGCCGCGGUAAUACGAGGGUGCAAGCGUUAAUCGAAUUACUGGGCGUAAAGCGUGCGUAGGUGGUUGGAUAAGUUAUCUGUGAAAUCCCUGGGCUCAACCUGGGCAGGUCAGAUAAGACUGUUUAACUAGAGUAUAGGAGAGGGUAGUGAAUUUCCGGUGUAGCGGUGAAAUGCGUAGAGAUCGAGGAACACCAGUGGCGAAGGCGACUACCUGGCCAGAUACUGACACUGAGGCACGAAAGCGUGGGAGCAAACAGGAUUAGAUACCCUGGUAGUCCACGCCGUAAACGAUGUCAACUAGCUGUUGGUCUUAUAAAUGAGAUUAGUGGCGCAGCAAACGCGAUAAGUUGAC